GUCAGAGAACUGCUCAUCUGGAACAGCUGUGGACCUUACCUGCACAGAUCCUGAUGAUGUCAGACUGGUGGGAGGAGCCAGUCGCUGUAAUGGUACAGUACAGAUCAAACAUGAUGGAGAAUGGAGACCCAUGGAUUAUGGUCCUUAUUAUGAUCGUUGGACCCUGAAGGCAGCAGAUGUCAUAUGUCAUCGACUGGACUGUGGAUCUGCUGUUUCUGGGAGAGAAACUCGUUCUUUUAAUUAUAAGUGGGUCAUCAGCCCCACCUGUCUUCUCUCUACAUCUACACUGAUGGACUGUGUUAGAACAGAUCCUGAGUACACUCGCUCCACCCUGUUCCUCACCUGUUCAGACUCUGUCAGACUGGUCCAUGGUUCCAGUCUGUGUUCAGGCAGACUGGAGGUCCG